AGGCAAGAGAGUGGAAAUUGCCAAGUCUGCUAUUUUCCUGUCUUGGAAACCGACUUUAUUGUCUCUGGUCCAGAAGAUGAUGGGAUGGGCAUUACUGCGUUAUCAAUGUGUUGCGCCUAUGGAGCUGAUGGCAUGCAGUCCAAUGGUUACGAUUGUGUUAUCAUACCUGGAGCCUUGAAAUUUGGAAUGACAGAACCAGCCACGGCAUCUCAAAUCUGCGGAGAGAAGCUGGCAACUAAUGUUGCCUUAGGAGAAAACACAACUAUUUGCACAAGACAACGUCCUUUCCACAUCACCUUCCGGUCUGACAAUUUUGAGCACAUGGUUGAAGCAGACACAAAAGUUAACCCAGGAUUUCGCCUUGCGUUUUCCCAACAAAGCUGCUGAGUCACUAUGUAGCCUCAAAUCGAUGAUUUUUUGAGGAGUAAUCGCCUAAGUGAUUGCUUCAACUGUAUUUUAUUUUGCAUAAGUUGUAAACCGAUUUUCUAAUUCUUAUUUCAUUUCCUAAAGAGAGUAAUUGAUAACAAAUAAAACCAAAUCUAGUGCCGUC